GUCUGCACACUGAAGCAUGGUGAUAAGUCCAGACAGCUGAGUUUGACAUGGCCUCCCUCUCUCUCUGCUGUUAUGCCUGGGACAUUACCAUUCAGAAGGGACGUCCGUAUAUGGCCGGGAUUGGAAACACUAAAAAUAGUCCCUGGGAGACACAAAUCCAGUCAAGGUUUACCUCUGAAAAACCAAAGGACUUACCAUUGUGAAAACAUCUGCAACGUAGUUACAGUCUUGUUUCAUCGCUGGAACUCCUGUACGGACUCAGGAGAGGCGACUGUUGAGAGCCAUGCGUCCUCCGAAACACAACCCAACCAAGCUGCACAAUGACACAAUGCCCAUCCAACCCGAAGCCAGCCGCACCAAUGUAUCGGAGGAAAGACCGUAUACCUGGCGACCGUGUCAGCGUGCACUGCCCUGGCCCGCCACAGGAGUCACUAGUGCGCGAUGAGACAAGGAUAUCCCUGCUGGCCAAACCCUCCCCUAACCCGGAUGACACUGGGCCAAUUGUGCGCCUCCCCGACAACAGACUUAAAGCACAAUUAUAGAUCUCCUCUAGAGCAGUGAUGUUUUGGGGCUGUUGCUGGGCAACACGGACUUUCAACUCCUUCCAAAGAUUUUCUAUGGGGUUGAGAUCUGGAGACAGGCUAGGCCACUCCAGGACCUUGAAAUGCUUCUUACGAAGCCACUCCUUCGUUGCCCGGGUGGUGUGUUUGGGAUCAUUGUCAUGCUGAAAGACCCAGCCACGUUUCAUCUUCAAUGCCCUUACUGAUGGAAGAAGGUUUUCACUCAAAAUCUCACGAUACAUGGCCCCAUUCAUUCUUUCCUUUACAUGGAAAUGCAAACAAACCUAAAAUGGGGUUAAAUGUACGAUGUAUUAUGUGGGUUGAAUGCUGUAACACAGAAUAAAACAAUUAAUAAAAGUCCCACGAUGGUAGUGACUGUCCAUUAUUUAACUUUAAUAAAAUAUUUAAGUUGUCG
ensembl:lncRNA